rnacentral:rRNA from 1 species
UACGAAGGGGGCUAGCGUUGUUCGGAAUUACUGGGCGUAAAGCGCACGUAGGCGGCUUUCUAAGUCAGGGGUGAAAUCCUGGAGCUCAACUCCAGAACUGCCUUUGAUACUGGAGAGCUCGAGUCCGGAAGAGGUGAGUGGAACUCCGAGUGUAGAGGUGAAAUUCGUAGAUAUUCGGAAGAACACCAGUGGCGAAGGCGGCUCACUGGUCCGGUACUGACGCUGAUGUGCGAAAGCGUGGGGAGCAAACAGG